rnacentral:tRNA from 10 species
CGGGAAAUAGCUCAGCUUGGUAGAGCACUUGGUUUGGGACCAAGGGGUCGCAGGUUCGAAUCCUGUUUUCCCGACUA